GAAUGAGGGCAUUAACACAUGUUAAUUUUAUUUAUUAAAGAUGACAAAUUACAUGGACUCAAAAUUUUUUAAAAAAGAAAUCUCUUGCUUACCUCAAGAGAUCUUAAUAGUUUAAUAAAACCAAAUUGACACUUACAUGAUUGACAGGUAAUAACAGUACCCAUCCUUUUAUUUAAUUAAAAAUAACACAAAAGAGUAACAUUACAUACACUUAACCAGUAUAAUCAGGCUUUCUCCCAUAUUGAGGAACAACAAAAAAAUCAAGGUUGUCAUUAUUCACUUUCUCAUCAUCAACCAAGCUUAUAAGGAUUGGAGGAAGGAUACCCUCCAACCACUCAUUACCUGAAAAAUUCAUAUUAAGAAAUUUAUUCAUAAAUGUUUAUAUUAAAAUAAAAAUUAGAAAUGAAAUUCAGAGUUGGCCUAAAAACCUGCACAUGGAGUUUGCAUAUUCUUCAAAUGAAAAGAUCUCUGCUAGUUUCUGAUGAUGAAUUGUAAUAGACCUCAGAAGUAAGUUGCUUUUGCUUCUGGAUAUAAUAAUAUCCAUGCCUAUAUAUAGAACGAAGGUGGGGUGAUUGCAGCGUAGUUAUGCAUGCACUGGAGAUAAUGGAUCAACGGCUGACGUUUCCCCAGAGUUGAUCGACGGCUGAAGUUUCCCCAACGGCUGAAAUUAAAAGAUUAUGGGGUUUGCAACUGUUGAAUGUUGCUGUUGAAUUCCUACCCACAUGGAUCAGAUCUCUGACAAAAGAUUGUGCUUCGCGAUGCGGGCAGGAAUCAAGUUGACAAGCUACUAUCAAUUAAUAAUAAAAUAAAUAAACAAAGGUAUGGUUAUUUAUACCAUAAAUUUUAGUCGGA
rnacentral:lncRNA from 1 species